UCAGUGACAUGCUUAACUGCUAAAGUCUAACACCCGGACACCUCUAUCAAAGCACGAAGACGACUGCUGCUGCGAUGGCGAAUGGCGGCUCAGCGCUUCCUUGGCGAACACAGACAGCCGCUGGGAGUCCUGCUGUCUGUCUGAACAGGACGUGUGGGGGUGGCAGCGGCUUUGGUGAGUGCGCGCCAUUGCGCAGCUCCCUUUUUCUUUAUUUUCUUUUUUGGUUUUAAGCCUUUGCCGUGUGCCUACCCUCCGACAGUCCUGCUGAGGUUAACCCUUCGAUCCCUCCCGAGCGUGCAUUCUGUUUUUCGCUUUACGACAAUGAGCGUAUUCUUUGGAGAACUCUCGGGCUCCCUGCUUUCACCAUUCCGCUGAGUCUCUGUGUCUCUUUUCAGAGUGCCGCGGGACCGUAGAGCGCAGUCGUUCUUUGCUUGGUGAUUGGGCUUAUAGGUUUUGCCAGUGGCCGAGGAUGUCCGCAUUCGUGGCGCUCGCCAUCGCCCUUUCGUUUCCUGUUCGCUCAAAGGCGCAGUGCCUGCUGCAUGUGCAGCGCGGCGUGCGCACACUCAUGCACGUGCACAGGUGUGCUCAGCGGGCGGCACCUUCGCGUUGCUGACACCAUCUCGAUCUGCGACGGACUCGCUCCUGGGGAGGGGGUAUUAGCGAGGCCCUCGAAGAAGAGCCCCCAAUGCUAUUGGCGACCAUUACCAAAACCCCACUAGGGCCGUUCCCGCGUUGCUUUCUGCCUCAUUUUAUUCGCGUGAGCCUCAUUUCCGAUACUUCUGUGCGUAUGCCGAGCGGCUCACGCGCGUGUGUUCUCGUUGAAUGCCGUCGCAGCGAUGGUGAAGCCCUACAGCAGCCGUAACACAGGAAGAGGCUGUAGCACGAGGAGGCGGCACACCGGUUCAAAUCCGUAGCAUGGGCAAGAAAGAGGGGUUAUUCGAAAAGAAAAAAGUCAAGAUGCCAAAAAAAAAGUUGAUGCGAAGUGUUGUCAGCUGCUACGUCACACAGAUCCUUCGCUUGGGAGGGGGCACGCCGCUGUGCAGUCAUCCGCUGCCACUAUUCGUUUAUUUUGUUUUAUUGCUCGUUUGAAUUUCGUUGCUCGCCUGUGUGCUUGUGCAGCUCCUUCUUAACAUCUUCUUCGUUUUUUUUUUUUCACGCCCCGGCCCCCAUUCCUCUCUUUGUCGCAGAACGCGGCUUACAGGGACAGGUAGAGGAGACGGCAGGGCACAUGCGCACAGAGGAAAAAAGAGAAAACAAAAUAGUAUACCCCGCUUUAACCACCGCACGGAUGCGAACACAAAGACACAGGGCGCGGGGGAGGUGCGUGCGCGUGUGUGUGUGCGCCAGGAGAGAGGGAGCGGUCAAGGAAAAAGGUGGAGGAUAUAUCGGUUAUCUGAGGCGCUUGUCUUGCUCUCUUUAGGGCUGAAUUUCAGAGAAGGCCACCGCGGAUAGUACCGGCCGCCUCCGUGCGUGAUAUAUCUCAGUGCCCAGCGCCCACUCUGUAUGGGGAGGAGCCAAGCACCCUGCAGGCCCGCCCUCGGGUACGGCCGGCGGGAGGGGGGAACCCUUGGUGUCGGCAGGACAGGCGUGGGGCUGGCGCUGUGCCGAAGAGACUUGCGGGCAUGAUGAUGCCUGUACAAAGUCGCUACGAGCGGUGCCGACGGUUCAGCGAAUAUACGCAUCCACCGACUGUGUUUUUUUGUUUUCGCGUGAGCUGCGAUGUGGUGAGUGUGGGCCCGGCUCCGUGGCGAAGCUUCGAUGCAGGCCUGCAUUGUGCGAGAGACGCAUUUCACCCUAGCAGGCCUGCGAGGCGUUUGAUCUGCCGGGUUUGCAGGACUCCGGCGCAGCAAGAAAAAAGCGGCACGGCGCUGGCGUCUCCGUGCUCACGCAGAAGGACAUAUGCACAGGUGCGGGCUCUACUGCUCGAUGUGAAGAGUCACCACACCGUAUUAAAUGGAUGCGGCGGCUUUAGGCGACGGAGGGAGAGAGGCAUGGCAUGCAGGCAGAGCGCGCAGGGUGCCAGAGGGCCCUGACCUGCGGCUGGUCAGCUUCCUCCCUGAGCUCGUCCGGCAUGCGCCUAAACUGCCCCCUGCUGCCUGCUCGACGGACGCUCACCGCCUCCGCCCUCCAGCACGACCCUGAAGGCGGCCCCCCUGGACCAAGGCAUGCCGUGCACUCGGGUCGGUGCGGCGCCGAUCGCGCAGCAGUUGUGCGAGGGUGUAUGUGUGUGUGGGAAGGGGUAGAAAGACCACGUCAGGCGCAUGGCCCGAUGCAACGGGCGGCGUUUCGUCCUCGAUGACGCGGAUGCGGCAGCAGUGCAACCGUGGCGUGUGGGCUUUGGGUGCAUAUGUGUCGACGGGCUUGCUUUGUUUGGCGGAGGGAGAGCAUGCUACACGAAAAC
rnacentral:misc_RNA from 1 species